ACUGCCCCUCGAGGCGUUGCAGGCCUGGCUGCUGUGUUACGCCUGCGUCACUGGGCGGCAGAGAGAAUGAGGCUAUGUCUACGCUCAGCGUUCCGACCCGUGAACGCCUGAAUGAUUAGUAGCCUGACACUG
ensembl:snoRNA